UCAUAUGCUUGUCUCAAAGAUUAAGCCAUGCAUGUCUCAGUGCAAGCCGUCUAGUACGGUGAAACCGCGAAAGGCUCAUUAAAUCAGUUAUGGUUCCUUAGAUCGUACCCACGUUACUUGGAUAACUGUGGUAAUUCUAGAGCUAAUACAUGCCGACAGAGUUCCGACCAACUUACGAGAUUCGUCUUUGCAAGUUCGGAAGGAACGCUUUUAUUAGAUCAAAACCGGCCAGACGGCGGCGUUUCGCAUUCGUGCUGCGUCGUCGUUAGCGGCCCGCGCAAAGAUUUGGUGACUCUGAAUAACUUCGAGCUGAUCGCACGGUCCUAGUACCGGCGACGUAUCUUUCAAAUGUCUGCCUUAUCAACUGUCGACGGUAGGUUCGACGCCUACCGUGGUGGUAACGGGUAACGGGGAAUCAGGGUUCGAUUCCGGAGAGGGAGCCUGAGAAACGGCUACCACAUCCAAGGAAGGCAGCAGGCGCGCAAAUUACCCACUCCCAGCUCGGGGAGGUAGUGACGAAAAAUAACGAUACGGGACUCAUUUGAGGCCCCGUAAUCGGAAUGAGUACACUUUAAAACCUUGGUCACACGAGGAUCAAUUGGAGGGCAAG
rnacentral:rRNA from 1 species